rnacentral:rRNA from 1 species
UGCUUUACACAUGCAAGUCGAACGGCAGCAUAGGUGCUUGCACCUGAUGGCGAGUGGCGAACGGGUGAGUAAUGCAUCGGAACGUGCCCAGUCGUGGGGGAUAACGCAGCGAAAGUUGUGCUAAUACCGCAUACGAUCUAUGGAUGAAAGCGGGGGACCUUCGGGCCUCGCGCGAUUGGAGCGGCCGAUGUUAGAUUAGGUAGUUGGUGGGGUAAAGGCUCACCAAGCCAACGAUCUAUAGCUGGUCUGAGAGGACGACCAGCCACACUGGAACUGAGACACGGUCCAGACUCCUACGGGAGGCAGCAGUGGGGAAUUUUGGACAAUGGGCGAAAGCCUGAUCCAGCAAUACCGCGUGCAGGAAGAAGGCCCUCGGGUUGUAAACUGCUUUUGUACGGAACGAAACGGCGCGCUCUAAUAAAGUGCGCUAAUGACGGUACCGUAAGAAUAAGCACCGGCUAACUACGUGCCA